UUCAUCGAACUAUUGGAGCAAAAGCUUUCCGCUUUGUUUGCUUUGAGCAGCAUCGAAAAGCGAAAGAAGGAGACUGUCGAAAUGUCAGCGAAUAACCAGAACCCAGCCGAACCCAUGGACGUCGAUGAUCAGGAUGACACGGCUCCAUCACGAGCUGAACCUGACGUUAAGCUCAGGCUCUCACUGAAGUGGUCAGAGUCUGAUGAGC